rnacentral:lncRNA from 1 species
AUCGUGAAGAAUUAGCUAAAAUGAUUACUGUUAUGUGUUUGCCUUAUUCUUUUGCUUCUAAUCCUGCUUGGAUUUAUUAUAUUAGAAGAGUAUUUAAUCCUACGUGGAACUAGUAGCAACACUAGUGCAAUAGGUAUGUUAACUAGAACACUUAAUCCUGCUUCUACUAAUAUUUUCCAUGUUAGAUGUAUAUGUCAUAUUUAUCAUUUAAUUGUUGGUGAUGGUAUGAGAAUAUUAAACUUAGAAAUUG